rnacentral:rRNA from 1 species
GUCCUACGGGGGGCAGCAGUAGGGAAUUUUCGUCAAUGGGCGCAAGCCUGAACGAGCGAUGCCGCGUGAGUGAAGAAGGCCUUCGGGUCGUAAAGCUCUGUUGCGGGGGAAAAAAGGCAGCAUCAGGAAAUGGGUGCUGACUGAUGGUGCCCCGCCAGAAAGUCACGGCUAACUACGUGCCAGCAGCCGCGGUAAUACGUAGGUGGCGAGCGUUAUCCGGAAUGAUUGGGCGUAAAGGGUGCGCAGGCGGCACGGCAAGCCGGCGGUCAAAUCGCGGGGCUCAACCCCGCCCAGCCGUCGGAACC